rnacentral:misc_RNA from 1 species
UCUCCGUUGGUGAACCAGCGGAGGGAUCAUUACCGAAGUUACCCUUCAAAACCCAUUGUGAACCAUACCUCUUGCCGCGUUGUCUCGGCGGGAGGCGCUGGGGCCUCGGCUCCGCGUCCCCGCCGGCAGCGCCAAACUCUAAACUGCAAAGCGUACUGCAUGUUCUAAUUUACAAAAAAAACAAGUUAAAACUUUCAACAACGGAUCUCUUGGUUCUG